rnacentral:rRNA from 1 species
UAUGCCGCGUGAGUGAAAAGCCUUUGGGUUGUAAAGCUCUUUGUAGGGGAAGAUAAUGACUGUCCCUAAGAAUAAGGUCCGGCUAACUUCGUGCCAGCAGCCGCGGUAAUACGAAGGGACCUAGCGUAGUUCGGAAUUACUGGGCGUAAAGCGCGCGUAGGCCGUUGAGUUAGUUAAUUGUGAAAUCCCAAAGCUUAACUUUGGAACUGCAAUUAAAACUGCUCGACUAGAGUUUGAUAGAGGAAAGCGGAAUACAUAGUGUAGAGGUGAAAUUCGUAGAUAUUAUGUAGAACACCAGUUGCGAAGGCGGCUUUCUGGGUCGACACUGACGCUGAGGCGCGAAAGUAUGGGUAGCAAAGAGGAUUAGAUACCCUCGUAGUCCAUAGCAUAAACGAUGAUUGCUAGAUGUUGGAAAUUUAUUUUACAGUAUCGCAGAUAACGCAUUAAGCAAUCCCGCC